GACGAACGCUGGCGGCGUGCCUAAUACAUGCAAGUUGAGCGCUGAAGGUUGGUACUUGUACCAACUGGAUGAGCAGCGAACGGGUGAGUAACGCGUGGGGAAUCUGCCUUUGAGCGGGGGACAACAUUUGGAAACGAAUGCUAAUACCGCAUAAAAACUUUAAACACAAGUUUUAAGUUUGAAAGAUGCAAUUGCAUCACUCAAAGAUGAUCCCGCGUUGUAUUAGCUAGUUGGUGAGGUAAAGGCUCACCAAGGCGAUGAUACAUAGCCGACCUGAGAGGGUGAUCGGCCACAUUGGGAGUGGGACACGGACCAAAAUCCUACGGGAGGCAGCAGUAGGGAAUAUUCGGCAAUGGACGAAAGUCUGACCGAGCAAAGCCGCGUGAGUGAAGAAGGUUUUCGGAACGUAAAACUCUGUUGGUAGAGAAGAACGUUGGUGAGAGUGGAAAGCUCAUCAAGUGACGGUAACUACCCAGAAAGGGACGGCUAACUACGUG
rnacentral:rRNA from 1 species